rnacentral:tRNA from 1 species
GCCGAAGUGGUGGAAUUGGCAGACGCACUGGACUCAAAAUCCAGCGGUAGCAAUACCAUGUCGGUUCGAGUCCGACCUUCGGCACCA